CCUACGGGAGGCAGCAGUAGGGAAUCUUCCACAAUGGGCGCAAGCCUGAUGGAGCAACACCGCGUGAGUGAAGAAGGGUUUCGGCUCGUAAAGCUCUGUUGUUGGAGAAGAACGUGCGUGAGAGUAACUGUUCACGCAGUGACGGUAUCCAACUAGAAAGUCACGGCUAACUACGUGCCAGCAGCCGCGGUAAUACGUAGGUGGCAAGCGUUAUCCGGAUUUAUUGGGCGUAAAGCGAGCGCAGGCGGUUGCUUAGGUCUGAUGUGAAAGCCUUCGGCUUAACCGAAGAAGUGCAUCGGAAACCGGGGGACUUGAGUGCAGAAGAGGACAGUGGAACUCCAUGUGUAGCGGUGGAUUGCGUAGAUAUAUGGAAGAACACCAGUGGCGAAGGCGUCUGUCUGGUCUGCAACUGACGCUGAGGCUCGAAAGCAUGGGUAGCGAACAGGAUUAGAUACCCUGGUAGUC
rnacentral:rRNA from 1 species